rnacentral:rRNA from 1 species
UGCCAGCAGCCGCGGUAAUACGGAGGGGGUUAGCGUUGUUCGGAAUUACUGGGCGUAAAGCGCACGUAGGCGGAUUGGAAAGUUGGGGGUGAAAUCCCGGGGCUCAACCCCGGAACUGCCUCCAAAACUAUCAGUCUAGAGUUCGAGAGAGGUGAGUGGAGUUCCAAGUGUAGAGGUGAAAUUCGUAGAUAUUUGGAGGAACACCAGUGGCGAAGGCGACUUCCUGGACUAACACUGACGCUGAGGUGCGAAAGCGUGGGUAGCAAACAGGAUUAGAUA